rnacentral:rRNA from 1 species
GCCUACUCUAGCCCAACUAUUCGACUAGCAUGACAAUUAAAAAUUCACUCAAUUUUAAAACUAAACCAUUCUUUCAACUUAGUAUAGGUGAUAGAAAAGAUACUCUGGCGCGAUAGAGACUUUGUACCGUAAGGGAAAGAUGAAAUAACAAUGAAAAACAAAGCAACAAACAGCAAAGAUAAACCCUUGUACCUUUUGCAUCAUGAUCUAGCAAGAACAACCAAGCAAAAUGAAUUUAAGCUUGCCACCCCGAAACCCAAGCGAGCUACUUGCGAGCAGCUAUCUUUGAGCGAACCCGUCUCUGUUGCAAAAGAGUGGGAUGACUCGUCAGUAGAGGUGAAAAGCCAAUCGAGCUGGGUGAUAGCUGGUUACCUGUGAAAUGAAUCUAAGUUCUCCCUUGACCCACUUCCUACCGGACAACCAAUUUUAACCUUAAUGUAGCAGAUCAAGAGUAAUUUAAAGGGGGUACAGCUCCUUUAAAAAAGAAAACAACCUCCAUUAGCGGAUAAUUACUUACCUUCUCUAGACUGUGGGCUUUAAAGCAGCCACCAAUAAAGAAUGCGUCACAGCUCCGUACAUAAAAAUUCGACCAUAAGAUGACUCCCUUCUCACUAACAGGUUAACCUAUGUUAAUAGGAGAAUUAAUGCUAAAAUGAGUAACUAGGGGUUCCCCCUCUUAAGCGCAGACUUACAUCCCUACAUUAUUAACAGACUUUAACCCAAUAUCUCAACUACCAACAAGAUUAAAAUAUUGAACCUUACCCUGUUAUGCCAACCCAGGAGCGCCUACUAGAAAGAUUAAAAUCUGUAAAAGGAACUAGGCAAACCUAAGGCCCGACUGUUUACCAAAAACAUAGCCUUCAGCUAACCAAGUAUUGAAGGUGAUGCCUGCCCAGUGACAUAACGUUUAACGGCCGCGGUAUCCUAACCGUGCGAAGGUAGCCGAAUCAAUUGUCCCAUAAAUAGCGACUUGUAUGAAUGGCUAAACGAGGGUUCAGCUGUCUCUUACUUUCAACCAGUGAAAUUGACCUGCCCGUGAAGAGACUUUUAAGUUCAGUUUUUUAAAGGAGAUCCACUAAAUGUCAGGAUGUUAAAAAUCAGCAGCCACUGCCUAUAUAAACCAGAACCUAACAGGCCCACUACUCGUAAAUGCUGGCUUGCAUUUUUCGGUUGGGGCGACCUUGGAGAAAAACAAAUCCUCCAAAAAUAAGACCAUACCUCUUAACCAAGAGCAACUCCUCAACGUACUAAUAGUAACCAGACCCAAUAUAAUUGAUCAAUGGACCAAGCUACCCCAGGGAUAACAGCGCAAUCUCCUCUAAGAGCCCACAUCGACGAGGAGGUUUACGACCUCGAUGUUGGAUCAGGACAUCCUAAUGGUGCAGCCGCUAUUAAGGGUUCGUUUGUUCAACGAUUAACAGUCCUACGUGAUCUGAGUUCAGACCGGAGUAAUCCAGGUCGGUUUCUAUCUAUGGUAAACUUUCCCCAGUACGAAAGGACCGGGAAAGUGGGGCCAAUACCACAAGCAUGCCCUCUCUUUAAGUAAUGACCUCAACUAAAUUACUAAAAGACCUACAUCCUAAACUCCUAGAAAAGGAUCA